GCUCUUGAGCCGAGUGGUUAAGGCGAUGGACUAGAAAUCCAUGGGGGUCACCCCACACAGGUUCGAAUCCUAUCGACUGCG
rnacentral:tRNA from 1 species